rnacentral:lncRNA from 1 species
AUGAAUUCCUGGAAGGAGAAGGAGGCCCGACCUCCUCAUGCAGCUCCCAGGGCCGCCCGGGGCUCUGGGCCGCGGCAGCGGGCCGGCCUGGCGGGGCGAAGGUUCUGGCGCGGCGCGGCAGCGCACGGAGCCCGGCCGAGCGCCACGGCCCGGCCCGGCCCACCGGCCGCAGCAGCAGCACGGAGGCGGAGGGGCCAUUUCAGCCUCUUACCGGACGUCCCGUGUCCACAGGGGCGGCGAAGAGGGCCGGCGAUGGACCGCGAUGGGCCGGACGCCGCUGGGCAGGAGGCAGCGGUGGAGCGUGGCCGCUGCCGGAGCCGCCGGGCCGUGGCGCAGGAGCAGCUGGCGCAAAUAAAGGAGCACAAGGAUCAAGCAGAUCUGGCUAAGCUGGAAAAGAGAAGGGAAGGGGAACAAAUACAGAGAUCAAGCCAAUUGUAUCAAAUGGAAAUUCAGAGAGAUAAAGAAAAGGAACAGGAGAAAAAAAUUGAAUUCCAGAGACAGCAUCAUGAACACAUAGCUGAACAGAAAAUAUUUAAAGCUGAAGACAAACAAAAAGAAGACAAAGAUGAUGAUCGGAUUAAGGCUUAUAUUAAAGGAAAAGAAAUGAUGGCUGAUCUGACAAGAGAAAAAAAUUUGGAGACUAACAGGAUGAUAGAGAAGCAUAAAGACAAAGCUUUUGAACAAUUAACUGCACAGAUGAAUGAGAAAUUUAAGAUUGAAGAUGAUCGUCUUGCUAGAGGAGCUGCAGAGGUAGAAGUUGAGUACCAAAUGCAAAACAAAGAGAAAGAAAUGAAAAAAAAGGCUGUUCUUGAAUCUAUUGAAGAAAACAGAGUCACUGUGGUAAGAAAAGACACACAUGCAGGUUCUCAGCAGUUGCCUUUCAUUUAUCAUCUAGAGCUUUAGAACUAAAUCCAUAAGAAAGGUGCAAGCAGUAUAUGUGGUGAUCUUCUCUUCAAAAAAAUUAGACUGGGAAGGCUCUGUAAUUGUUCAUAAUUUGUGCAAACUCUGCACUGCUUACUCCAGGAGCCUGGCCCAGACCACAGCCGGUGACUCUGGUGCCAUCAGCAGCAGGCUUCAGCAAGUCUGCU